UACGAAGGGGGCUAGCGUUGUUCGGAAUCACUGGGCGUAAAGCGCACGUAGGCGGAUUGUUAAGUCGGGGGUGAAAUCCUGAGGCUCAACCUCAGAACUGCCUUUGAUACUGAGGAGCUUGAGUCCGGGAGAGGUGAGUGGAACUGCGAGUGUAGAGGUGAAAUUCGUAGAUAUUCGCAAGAACACCAGUGGCGAAGGCGGCUCACUGGCCCGGUCCUGACGCUGAGGCGCGAAAGCGUGGGGAGCAAACAGG
rnacentral:rRNA from 1 species